rnacentral:sRNA from 1 species
UCCUGUACCUGCAUGGCUUCUUUCCUCCUCUCCUUGGCUUAGAGAACCCCACUGACCUUGUAAGUCAGUUCCUUCUUUAUUUUACGUUUGUCAUUGUCUGAAUGUUCUAACCCAUUCCUUCUGUCUUACAUCCCUAAUGUUCUGCCUUCUGCUUGAUGCAUUCUAUUGGUGAGGCCAUUUGCUGAGUAUAUCGAGGUUUAAUAAUAUACAAUGUAGGUCACGUUGCUUGAAGAGGAGCCUUGAAUCUGCCCCUGAACUACUUGUGUGUUCCCCGUGGUCAUGAGCUAAGCCACUGGCUUCAACAAGCUUUCUCUGCCAUGAAGUGUUCCCUCACCACAGGCCCCACGGCAACACACAACGGCCCAAGACUUCUAAAGCCGCCAAUCAAAAUAAACUUUCGCUGACUCACAGAGAGCCGUGGUGAAUCCUACGACACAGAGAUUCACAGAGAGCGGUUACUGAAGCCUACAGGCAGCGUCUCAGGAGUCAUUCAUUCACUCUCUCUUGCAGUACGCCUAUCCGAUUCUUGCCCCAGGAAAACUGUCCUUUCUCUCCUGCAGCAGGGCAUCCAGAUGGCUACUCGGAUACCUCAGAUUAUGAAAAAGUCUACUCUGGCUUGAGCUUGAUUCUCCCAAAUUCAGAUAUCGCAAACUUAAUCUACAACUCCACCAAUUUGGGAUGUGGGGACUUAGCGGGCAGUAUUUAGGUCAUGGUGGAUUAAUGUGAUAAAAGGCUCUCCAACUCUCGCCUGUCAUGCUUAACGCACGUUCGUGUAGAACCUGGCGCUAAACCAUUCGUAGACGACCUGCUUCUGGGUUGGGGUUUCGUACAUAGCAGAGCAGCUCCCUUGCUGCGAUCUAUUGAAAGUCAGCCCUCGACACAAGGG